AUGGUAGGAUAGAGGCCUACCAUGGUGGUAACGGGUAACGGGGUGUUAGGGCACGACACCGGAGAGGGAGCCUGAGAAACGGCUACCACAUCCAAGGAAGGCAGCAGGCGCGCAAAUUACCCAAUCCCGACACGGGGAGGUAGUGACAAUGAAUAACAAUACGGGGUUCUUUGAAUCUUGUAAUUGGAAUGAGUACAAUUUAAAUCUCUUAACGAGGAACAAUUGGAGGGCAAGUCUGGUGCCAGCAGCCGCGGUAAUUCCAGCUCCAAUAGCGUAUAUNAAAGUUGUUGCAGUUAAAAAGCUCGUAGUUGAAUUUCGGGAUCAAUACGUCGGUCGUGCUUUCGGGUACGUACUGGCGUCAUUGGUUUCUCCUUUCUGACGAACCAUGAUGUCAUUAAUUUGGUGUUAUGGGGAGUUAGGACUGUUACUUUGAAAAAAUUAGAGUGUUUAAAGCAGGCAUUAGCUUGAAUACAUUAGCAUGGAAUAAUGAAAUAGGACGUUCGAUCCUAUUUUGUUGGUUUCUAGGAUCAACGUAAUGAUUAAUAGGGAUAGUUGGGGGCAUUAGUAUUCAAUUGUCAGAGGUGAAAUUCUUGGAUUUAUUGAAGACCAACUACUGCGAAAGCAUUUGCCAAGGAUGUUUUCAUUAAUCAAGAACGAAAGUUAGGGGAUCGAAGACGAUCAGAUACCGUCGUAGUCUUAACCAUAAACUAUGCCGACUAGGGAUCGGAUGAUGUUAAUUUUUUAAUGACUCAUUCGGCGCCUUACGGGAAACCAAAGUGUUUGGG
rnacentral:rRNA from 1 species